AUAUGUUGGUAUAAAGAGAAGAGGUAAAUACCAUCAAAUCUUCACGUGUCAAUAUAUAUAUGUAUUUUUUUUUCCAUUGUUAAUAUAAAAAUAUUGAUCUGUGAAUUUUAAUACAUAUGUUUAUGAGUUGAUUCAACACUUUGUCAUUGGAGUGUGUAAGAUCAUCAACAGGACAAUGUCCUGAAAAUAUUACCCUCUACAUUGAAGCAAAUCCAAAUUAUAUCAAAUAAUGCAUUAUUAUUAUAUUUCAAUUUCAGAAAAGAGCACAUUUAUCACCUCUGGAAUAGUUGCACAGUUCAAAGGAACAGAGGAAGGAUUUGUUCUUAACAACUUUAAAUGUCAGGCUGUUGUUGGCAGUUAUCUUUAAGUUUUGGGUUUGUAGUGGGUUUUAUUUAUAUCAGACACAGUUUGUAAUGUUAGCACAAAGGCAUAAUAAUAUGAGCUGUGUACACCGCAAACCCAGAAAAAGACUGACGGACAUUUGUGAGAUAAUAUACUGUAACUUAGGUGUUUCUUAAUAUUGACGUUUUGAUUAUGCAUCUCCUGCCUGAGUGCUCUGGUUCUGCUUCUGUCACUUCCUCUUUCUUCAUUGAGGGUAAAAGAGAUGUUACAGUCAGCACACAGGAAGCAGUAGCCAGAGGAACCACACUCAGACACAGCAGUACUGCUACUUUACCCAUGGCACAGCUCAAAGUCUGGCCAGUAUGCAAACUUACAACAAGCCACAGGAAUGUGUUAAGAGCGUAUGUCAGUGCACAUCUAUGCUCUCUGAAAAGCACAGGAAAACUGUCUCCUAUCACUUAUGGCGCCAGGAAACUUGUGUAGGUGUUUUCCCAUUUCAAUUUGUGGUGGAACGUGUAUUUACUGAAAUUUAGCUUGUGACCCUGUGGAGGGGAACAGAACCUUUGGUUGGGAGCCACUGGAUGAAAGUGUGGAAGUACCCAACAGUACAUAAAGUAGCUCUAAACUGUCACAGGGGCCAACUCUCUGCAUAUCAGCUCUGUUUGAGUUUCCUGUGGUGGGAUCUUUGACAUAGUGGGCUGUCUGUGCACGGUUCUGCAGGUCGUCGUUACCCGUCCCUUUGCUGAGAGGCUCCUGCUCCCUCUUUGAGCCCACGCAGCCCAUGGUGCCUUCUGCAG